UAUCACUCUAUAUGGAGGUUUAGCCAGCAUGCUAACUUAUAUACUUCAGACUCAUAAUUUAAGUUUAAAAUUAAAAUAGUGUAACAUGAUAAGUUAGCUGCUGUUACCUGCUGCUGCUUAAUGUGUAAAUACUCUUGCUGGCUUGCCUUGUGUUUUCUGCUAGUUAUAUUUGAUCCCAGUGGUAUUCUUGUCAUUAUAUAUUGGCAUUUAAAUGAAUGAGUGAGAAGCUAGCUGAUGCUAAGUAGCAUUAGCUCGCCUCGGUAGAGCAGGCCAGUGUGAAAAACCAAGGACUAUUUUCGCAUCUAAGUCGGCGAACUAAGGGUUCAACAAUACCCGACGUCAGUGUGGGUGGUUAAUGAAACAGUACAGGCGGGCUUGGUGAAUUUUAUUUAGUUUCUGCGGAGUUUGAGAAAUAGUUGGCCGGGAAGCUAAGCUAACGCACACAUUUCAUUAGCCACGUAGCUCCCUUCACCGGAGGUUUCUGCUGUGUGAGUGGGCGUGCGAGAGAGAGGGAGCCUGUCCCGUUGAAUACACGUUACUCCCCCAGAUGCAUGCCAAGUUUCAGCGCCGUGCUGAGGAAAGCAAGCUAGCCCCAAGAUUGAGGACGAGUUUCAAAGAAUCACAAGGGUGCACCUGGAAUCAAAGUUCAUGUCCAAGCUGGAUGAAUAUACUCCCAAGCUUCUGAACCUCUUCCAGUCCAAGGGAGGAACAUGGGGUUGAGGUAGCAGGCUAUUCUACUCAAGGCUCCAAGCAAUCCUAGCAUCAACGUAUCCAGAGAUGUUGUCAUUCGUUGUUUGAUUGUUUACCUCGGGGAAUCAACAGAUCAAAUCUUAAAAGAGUAUGAUGAUGCUGAUGAAGACAGUGUGUCGCAGGAUCUUGCUGACCAAAAGAUGAAGAUCUUCAAGAUUAAAACGUCAGAGGGUGUCGAAAAAGUUGGAAUUGUGGUGGAAAGCGUAACAGUUCUGAUUGGACUGACACAUUUUCCAAGGGCUUGCUCCAUGCUCGUUGGACUGACAUAUGCAGUGAAUCUUGCCUAUCCUAAGGAGCUCAGGUACAGUUUCGAAGCCUUCCAGAAACUCUUCCUGGAACUGGAUUGUUCAAAGCUGUCCCCAAAAGUGAACAGCCUCAAGAACAAGCUACUAGAUAAAAAAUGAAGGGAAGUUUGUUAGGUCAAUGGCAAAACAUCAACAGUUUCUCCUUUCAUUUGAAAGGGUCCCUCUUCAAGUUUAAUGUUUUUUAACUUCUUUUUAUGUUUUGCUUCAAAGCUUUGUUAAAUCUUACAGUUUCUGUGUUGAGAGAUUGUCCUUACUCAACCAUAUUCAUUUGAGGGGAGGGGCAUUAUGUUUUUUACGAUGCAACGGUUCUUAAACUUUGUCCACUGUGCAUACUAGGGAUGCAAAUUUGAAAUUUUUUACUGAGAAAUUUUACCAGUGAAAAAGUAUCCAAGACCUUAUCCUAGAGAAACUUGAAGAAGAGGGACCCUUUCAAAAUGAAGGGAAGUUUGUUAGGUCAAUGGCAAAACAGCAAAAGUUUUGACAUUGACAAAACAAAUCUCCUUUCAUUUGAAAGGGUCCCUAUUCAAGUUUAACGUUACUUGUUAUGUUUUGCUUCAAGGCUUUGUUAAAUCCCACAGUUUCUGUGUUGAGGGAUUGUCCUUACCCAACCAUAUUCAUUUGAGGGGAGGGGCAUUAUGUUUUUUUACCAUGCAACUGUUCUUAAACUUUGUCCACUGUGCACACUAGGGAUGCAAAUUUUAAAUUUUUACUGAGAAAUUUUAAGUGAGUCCAAUUUCAGCAGUGAAAAAAGUAUCCAAGACCUUAUCCUAGAGAAACUUGAAGAAAAGGGACCAUUUCAAAAUGGAGGGAAGUUUUUUAGGUCAAUGGCAAAACAUCAACAGUUUAGACAUUGACAAAACAAAUCUCCUUUCAUUUGAAUGGGUCCCUAUUCAAGUUUAACGUUACUUGUUAUGUUUUGCUUCAAGGCUUUGUUAAAUCCCACAGUUUCUGUGUUGAGAGAUUGUCCUUACCCAACCAUACUCAUUUGAGGGGAGGGGCAUUAUGUUUUUUACCAUGCAACUGUUCUUAAACUUUGUCCACUGUGAACACUAGGGAUACAAAUUAGAAUUUUUUUACUGAGAAAUUUUAAGUGAGUCCAAUUUUUGCAGUGAAAAAGUAUCCAAGACCUUAUCCCAGAUUAGCGGUAUAAAUUGUAUCCCUAUUGUACAUAUACAUGUUUUGCAUAAUGUUUUUCUCUAGAUUUUAUUGUAUUUUUGCAUUUGCACUUAAAAAAUGUUGAAUGAACAUGUUUAAGCAAAGUUGCACAAAUAAAUGUUUUUUAUCUGC